rnacentral:lncRNA from 1 species
GACAAUAUUCUUCCACCUUAUGCCAUCCGAAGCUUUCAUAUGAGGUAUUCAUAGGGAGUGUGUGGUACAAGCCAGCUAGUUGGAAGCCAAUAGCUUUACCAGGUCAGGUGUCAUUCGCCAUACGAUACGACCGGCUUCGUACUUGUCCACGCGCUUCCUUGUUCGUUAGAUUUUGAUGGAGGCCUGGAGGGUCGGGGUACAAGGAGCGGACUUCAGGACGUAAUGCUUUUGGCAGGACGGUGCCUGGACGGAGGAAGUUAGCCCGGUGCUAAACGAUUUUGUGCAGGUUUCGGCUACCCACGGUGCUGCCUCCAACCUUUCGGGGGAGUAUUGUGCGUUUCUUCUACAUGAUCAAUGUCAGGGCUGUGUACGAAGUCCAAAGAGGUGUGCACUUCAAUGUGUUCGGCACUAUCCUAAGCUACAUGGUCAUCCAGCCCAUUUUGUGGCGUUCUUGCAGAGAUCGGCAUUGAAAGCUGACGAAAACUGAUUCUUGCCCGGAUUAUUCGUACGCAGGCAAAAUGGACGCAGUGGUAUUUGAGACAACAGCGUCGACCGCCCUCACCGUAUGGCCCAACAACGGCACUGCUGCCGGCACGCCAGUAUGCUCGGCGAACCUCACUGAAUGCCGUAAAAGUUUCGUUGAUCACAUUCACCAGCGUUGUGAUGAUCCCUUAGGACUUCACAGAGUUGGCGAGUUGAUGGACACAGGCAGCAGGUUGGAACAGGACAGUGCUUGCCUCAGCUUCCCAUGCACAUUGCCAAUGACGGGUGGUCUGCCUAUUGUUGGCAACAGUCACGGUGGGCUAUGCAGUACUGGCGGCAAUGAUGGCGAUGUUUCAGUCUCUGACUACGUGUUGGGCCUAAACUGCAGGUGUGACUGAUGUGGAUCUCGAGCCAGACGCCCUUUUUUGAUGUACGCUAGAGCUGGCUGUUAACGUCAACACGGCCGUUAAAUAAACAUGGAUGCUUGCUCAAGUCUGCCAACUUGCCUUUUGAUCCCAUGGUCCAAUAUUUAGAUGCAUGGACCUCCUUUGCAAAAUGUUAUUGCAGAAUUCGAUGGCAUGAACUUCAGGGCGCAGGAGCUCGUGACAACAUGUCCGACAUGGAGAGCCUGACACUUGUAACAGAUGUUUCACCCAUUCAGGCCUAUUCCGGCAUGGAAUCCGCCAUGCUUCCCCGGGGAGUUAUCCCGUUUGGCAUCAAUCGGCCCUUUGACGCAAAACUUCUAUUUCAACCAAGUCUGCAAACGUGCACCCCUUCUCACCGCAAUUACCGUGGUGAAGAUGGUCGAGCUCUUUUGGAGUUGGGUCCUGGGAAAUCCCGUGUGGUUGCUGGGAGCAGAGCGCUGGCAGCAGCACAGGAGCCCGAGCUAGGGCAACAGUCUGGAGCUGGCGGGUUCUCUCCCUUCACAUGGAGCCCCAGUCGGGGCAGUUCACUCUUUGACAAGGUGUACGUGCUGAAUGUGGGGAGCCAUCCAUUGUUACGAGUCCUGUUACAUGUGAGAACGAUGCCAGUUUAUGAUAUUUUUUAUUGCAAUCGCUUACCCCAGGAAUGGCUGUACGUCUGAAAACCGAUUUCAGAAUACAUAAUAAUCUAUUUACCUCAUUUCUCGGGGUUUACUUGAAUGUGGAUUUCCUCUUCAACAUGUAUCCCUCGUACACAUUUGAUCAGGCGCCUUUGGAGGUACCGCUACAGCCAGGCGCAACGUUCGGUGGAGUGCUGGACUUACGUCGACCUAUAGCCGUUGGAACGCUGCCGCUUCCUGGCCGGUUGGAAAUGGCAUGUUAUGGAGUCGGCGUCCUCCUGGAGACCGAGGAGUUACUUUCACCUGUAUGUAGGCGGCAGGUGCGAAGCUUAUUCAUGGAUAGCAGGCUGUGUUACUUACCCAUACUGCAAACUGUUGAGGCCCUUUGGCCGUUACGGAUCUUCCUUCAGCUCUGGAAGUGGAACAGGUCUUUGCCAUUGAAAGCUCGGUCGCAGUGAUAUUAUGAUGCGAUCUUGGAGCCCUUUCCAAACCGCGAAAGGGAUGCGUGGACCUGUUGGAGCGUGAGGAACUUGCUGCCAUUCGAGGCUGACCAAACGCGGUAACAUUGUAUAUUUUGGCCCGGUUGCAAAGUUGCAUAUUCACAUGCCUGAGUGCCGGCUAUGCUCUAAAAUGUUUCUUUUGAACCCUUCGCGUAGGUAACGCGGGGUGGCGAAGACACCUUGAGUGGAACACCACUUGUUGUUCGGCGGCUUCAUGCAGAGCACCACGAGCUGCCCUCUGACAGUGCACUCACCGCGUUUAUGUUCACCUUGCCUGCUACAGCAACACCAUCUUUUAGUACUCCGAUGGUAUCACUCCGAUGGGUACUGCGCCUUGAGCUGAUGGUCGGUCCUAUUAUGAAUUUUGCAGCUGUGGACAUGCGUAUGGGUAUGCGGCCACAACUAGAGCAACUGACCUGGUCGUUGCCAUUGAGAUUGAGGCCUCCUGUCAUAUUUACGCGUUAGGUGCUGGGGAAUUAUUUCUGAAUCGGAAGUCCCUUCAUGUCAUCUUGCUGGAUCGCUUUAAAAUCCUGAAGUAUGCAUGUCGAUACUUCCGUUGCCAGCUGCAGCGAAAGCAACAUUACAAGGUGCAGCCUUCCGCGCCUCCUCCUUCGGUGAAUCGCGUGAUGAGGCAGGAUGGCAGAAGUUACCGCGCUUGCAGGGGUGGAAUCAAGAAAGUUCAAUAAAACCGAUGGUGUUGUCUGUUCAAAGUCCUGGUGACCCGUUGUAUUGCAUGGUGGUUAAUAACAUAAUGUGGAUGAUUCCGAGGUUCAGUGCUUGUAAAAAGGUACGGUAGAGCGUUAGAGCCAAAAUGUGGAGACUGCAUAGGUAAUGAGGCAGAGAAUUUGGUGUCAUAGUACACGGCGGCACGUGCAACCUCAACCGGGUGUGUCCUCAUAAAUGUUCUUGGGUGAGGCCCCGGGCGCGAAGCGCCUUUCGGGGCUUGGCCCCCUAGGUUCACUGCUGUCAGUCAGUCAGUCAUGGUGUAACAUUUCAUCUUAUUUCGCCCCGAUUAAAAUUGCGUCUGCAAGCUACUCUAAUUUUCUAUCGAUGGACCAAUGGAAUUAAUUGCGAU